AAUAUGGUCCACCAAAAAAUAUUAUCUGGUUCAAUAUUGACCAGUAUUCAACUGAUAUGGCAUUGAGAAAGAUUGACCAAUACAUCAGGACAGUGUCAAAGAGAGACAGAAAAAAAAGAAAAAUUAAAAAGAGACUGCAAGGGAAAAAACUACAGAGAUUUUGACAUCAGCAAACACAUGGGAAUUUCAUCCAAGUUGGUUAUACUGCAUCGACUAUAUUGCAACAGAAGAAUUUGAAUUUGAUAACUACCACAAGUUUCGUGUUCGCUGGAGUAUUCCAACUCAGUAACUAUCCAGUUGAAGUAUCUUUUGUUAUAGAGACCAACCAACUAAUUCAUAGGCCUGGCAAAACUCGCUUUCGAGAAAAGUGGUUGAAGGAUG
rnacentral:misc_RNA from 1 species